UACAGAGGUCCCGAGCGUUGUUCGGAUUCACUGGGCGUAAAGAGCGUGUAGGCGGUUUGGUAGGUCCGUUGUGAAAACUCGAGGCUCAACCUCGAGACGCCGGCGGAAACCAUCAGGCUAGAGUCCGGAAGAGGAGAGUGGAAUUCCUGGUGUAGCGGUGAAAUGCGCAGAUAUCAGGAAGAACACCCGUGGCUAAGGCGGCUCUCUAGUACGGUACUGACGCUGAGACGCGAAAGCGUGGGGAGCGAACAGG
rnacentral:rRNA from 1 species